rnacentral:lncRNA from 10 species
GGAGUUCAUAUUCUUUAUUAUGGUUUGUUUCCCUGGAGACCUCAUUUUCCCCUGUUAUAAAUAACCCCAAUGUGUCUUGCCAGUCCAGGUGUCCGACCCUUUGAUACGAUUCUGAUUUUUCGGACAGAAAAACAGUGCCCGAGGAUCUGUCCCUGGCUGCUGUUGGCUGCUUGUUGAAGAUCCACUCCACGGCUGCUGUGUGAUUUUUAACUGGAUCCUCAGUACACGAAAUUCUUUACAUUUCCACGUCACCACUGCCGCCCCUCCACACCACGCCACCUCUGAUCAGUACACAACAUGCAAAUGCACAGGGGAUGAUGUGGUGAUCCGUCUGUGAUGGGAACAAUCAUUCCUCAUCCUUAUUUCAUAACUUUGGGCUCCCAUAAGGUAAUUACUGUCAAACCAACUUUCACAUAGGUCUGGAGAGAAAUGAGUCCAUUGUUUCUAAAGCUGUGUCCUUCCUUAGCUUUACAUGCAAAUUUCUCAAUUGUACUAAAUGUAAAAUAAGAUGAUAUUUUAGUUGAAGAGAAUAGUCUCAUGUGUUUAUUUUCAGUAAUUACUAUAAUUGUGAGAAAUGUAGUCAGUCCGUUGAAAGGUCCCUAGGAUGAUGUGACACUUUAAAUAGAUAGCUAAAAUAAUAUAUAUUAUAGUUGAACUGGGAAUCUACAAUAUGGCUUUAGAAAAAGAAAAAAAAGAAUUUUUGUUUGUUAUUGUGGACAUGACACUGGCAUGCUCUGGUGGGAACACCUACAUUAGAAGCGAGGUAUAUUAGGGAUUAUUAGACUCUGCCAAGCCCAGCAGAAUACAC